rnacentral:tRNA from 2 species
GGUGUAGCGUAGCGGUAGCGCAGGGGACUGUUAAUCCCUUGGUCGCUGGUUCGAAUCCAGCCAC